rfam:Salmo salar isolate Sally breed double haploid chromosome ssa04, whole genome shotgun sequence.
CCCUGUGGCUCAGUUGGUAGAGCAUGGUGUUUGCAACGCCAGCAUGGUGUGUGCACCGCCAGGGUUGUGGGUUCGAUUCCCACAGGGG